rnacentral:rRNA from 1 species
AUGACGACCAACACCAAGCGCGCGUACAAGCUCCAGGAGUUUGUGGCGCACUCCUCCAAUGUCAACUGCCUCAAGAUUGGGAGGAAGACAUCGCGAGUCCUUGUCACUGGAGGAGAGGAUCAUAAGGUUAAUCUCUGGGCUAUCGGGAAGCCCAAUUCGAUAUCGAGUUUACCGGGGCAUACAAGUGCUGUGGAGUCAGUUGCAUUUGAUUCCACAGAAGUAUUUGUGGCUGCAGGAGCAGCCAGUGGCACAGUAAAAUUAUGGGAUCUAGAGGAGGCGAAGAUUGUCCGCACGCUUACUGGACAUAGAUCAAACUGUAUGUCAGUUGAUUUCCAUCCUUUUGGGGAAUUCUUUGCCUCUGGGUCUUUGGACACUAAUCUGAAGAUAUGGGAUAUAAGAAGGAAGGGCUGUAUCCACACAUACAAAGGCCACACCAGAGGGGUGAAUGCUAUUAGAUUCACACCUGAUGGCCGUUGGGUUGUGUCUGGCGGUGAAGAUAGUGCAGUGAAGAUCUGGGAUUUGACAGCUGGAAAGUUACUGCAUGAGUUCAAAUCCCAUGAGGGUCAAAUUCAGUGCAUUGAUUUCCAUCCCCAUGAGUUCCUUCUGGCAACAGGUUCAGCUGAUAAAACUGUCAAGUUCUGGGAUUUGGAGACCUUCGAGUUGAUUGGAUCUACUGGACCUGAGAUGACAGGUGUACGAUCCAUGACAUUCAAUCCCGACGGAAGAUCUCUGUUAUGUGGGCUGCACGAGAGCUUAAAGGUUUUCUCUUGGGAACCAAUAAGAUGCCAUGAUACUGUAGAUGUGGGAUGGUCUAGACUAUCGGAUCUGAAUGUCCAUGAGGGAAAACUUCUUGGUUGUUCUUCUAAUCAGAGUUGUGUUGGAAUAUGGGUUGUUGAUCUAACGCGUCUUGAGCCACAUGCAACUACUACUUCAGCAUUACUUAAUGGCCGUUCUGAAUUGAAGACUUCAUCAGGUGGCACUAUGCCAUUACAAAACGACAGUGGUUCAAGGGCUAACAUAGGGCGAUCAUCAGCUCUACAAAAUUCAGAGAAUAACUUAAAAGCUUCUACAGGAAGGCUCUCAGUUUCUCAAAAUUCAGAUUCUGCACCCAAAGAGAUUAAGCCGACAGCUCCAAGUGGCUUGGUCCCAAGCACUCCUCAAAGGGUCGGAACUGGCUCCAGUACUAGAACAGCUGGAAAUUCAACUUAUGCAUCUGGUGGCACCACAUUAAAGAGAAGUUCACUGAAGAGUAACAGCACUUCUAAUCUUCAUAAUUUCAGUAAAACUGACGUGGUGCCUGCUGCUGUUAUCAUCCCAAGAACUAGCUCAGGAGCAGAGCUUGGUACUGGUUCAAGAAGUUAUGCUGCUGAUGUGGCCCCUGUUCUUUCGAAGGCAAGCAGAAGGGCAGAGCCGGCUACUGAUCCUAGGACAGAAAGUGCUGAUGUGGCACCUGCUGUUGUUCCCAGAACAAGUUCAAGAAUGGAAAUGGCCUCUGAUUCAGCACCUGAUGCUGUUUCUAGGGUAGGCAGAAGGUUGGAAUCUGCUGCUGAUUCUAGGAAAGAAAGUGCUGAUGCAGCACCGGUCGUUCCCAGGGCUACUUCAAGAAUGGAAAUGGCCUCUGAUUCUGUACCUGUUCUUCCGAAGGCAGGCAGAAGGUUCGAGUCUGCUACUGAUUCAAGAAAAGAAAGCACUGAUGAAGCACCUGUUGUUGUUCCUAGAGCAACUUCAAGAAUGGAAAUGGCCUCUGAUUCUAGGAGAGAACCUUCUGCAGGAAGAGUAUCACCAUUUAGGAUCCAAUCAAGGUAUGCUGAACCAAGGAAAUCAACCAAUGUGAAAGUUGAUAUGGACAAAGUUGAUGUGGGAAGCAAAGAUACUGAAAGUGACGACCUUACUUGUCAAAUAUUUCUUCCUCGGAGGAAUGGUGCUGUUCAAACAGUGAUUCCAGAAGAAACUCGUGAAGAUGUAAAACAUGGUUCAGUUUACAGGUCGGGAUUUUCAGGUUCAGCAGAAUCAAAUACAAGCCACCGGAAUGAUAAUUAUGUUCCUAGAAUGCGUAAGCCAAGAGAUAACUGCUACAUUGAAGUUUCAAGAGCAGGAAGAACAAGAUCAAUUGUUUCUAAUUGGGAAGGCAGGGAUCAGUCCCCAAGUCACGAAGAACCAACAACAAGCAAUUCAGCGUUGGGGGCUCCUAGAGGCCGAAUAUAUUCAUCUAGAGGAAGCAGUCAAGCAGCUGAAACUAAUAUCGUAACUAGCGAGGAAGAUGUUUUAUCUGUUCUAAUCGAAGAGCAUGAUCUAUUUUUGAGUUCAACACGGUCACGGCUGACAAAAUUGCAGAUUCUGCACCAAAUGUGGCAAAGAAAUGACAUCAGGGGUGUUUUCUCAGCGCUGGAGAAGAUGUCCGAUCAUGCUGUAUGUGCUGAUAUGGCAAGUGUUCUGAUGGAGAAAAGCGAAGCCAUCACACUAGAUUUAUGUACCACUAUCCUGCCUGUCCUUGCUGACCUUUUGGAGAGUAAAACUGACAGGCAUGUAGCCGUAUCACUGGAACUGGUAGUGAAGCUUGUCAGGACUUUUGGGCCUGUAAUACAUUCAACAGUGUCGGUUGGUCCAUCUUCUGUUGGUGUAGAUCUUGAAGCAGAGCAAAGGCGGGAGAGGUGCAACUUAUGCUUCAUAGAACUGGAGAAAGUUAAAAAUAAGCUUCCUUCCCUUAUGAGAAGAAAAGGGGCAGCUUCAAACACAGCGCAGGAGCUCAGUCUUGUCUUCCAGGAAAUUAUGUCGUAG